rnacentral:rRNA from 1 species
UACGUAGGGGGCAAGCGUUGUCCGGAUUUAUUGGGCGUAAAGAGCGUGUAGGCGGCCAUGCAGGUCCGUUGUGAAAACUCGAGCUCAACCUCGAGACGCCGAUGGAAACCGCAUGGCUAGAGUCCGGAAGAGGAGAGUGGAAUUCCUGGUGUAGCGGUGAAAUGCGCAGAUAUCAAGGAAGAACACCCGUGGCUAAGGCGGCUCCUCUAGUACGGUACUGACGCUGAGACGCG